UGUGAACGCUGGCGGUAGGCCUAACACAUGCAAGUCGAACGGCAGCACAGUAAGAGCUUGCUCUUACGGGUGGCGAGUGGCGGACGGGUGAGGAAUACAUCGGAAUCUACUUUUUCGUGGGGGAUAACGUAGGGAAACUUACGCUAAUACCGCAUACGACCUACGGGUGAAAGUAGGGGAUCUUCGGACCUUGCGCGAUUGAAUGAGCCGAUGUCGGAUUAGCUAGUUGGCGGGGUAAAGGCCCACCAAGGCGACGAUCCGUAGCUGGUCUGAGAGGAUGAUCAGCCACACUGGAACUGAGACACGGUCCAGACUCCUACGGGAGGCAGCAGUGGGGAAUAUUGGACAAUGGGCGCAAGCCUGAUCCAGCCAUACCGCGUGGGUGAAGAAGGCCUUCGGGUUGUAAAGCCCUUUUGUUGGGAAAGAAAAGCAGCAGGUUAAUACCCCGCUGUUCUGACGGUACCCAAAGAAUAAGCACCGGCUAACUUCGUG
rnacentral:rRNA from 1 species